rnacentral:rRNA from 1 species
UACGGAGGGUGGCGAGCGUUAAUCGGAAUCACUGGGCGUAAAGCGCGCGUUAGGCGGCUUUCAAGUCAGGGGUGAAAUCCCACGGCCCAACCGUGGAACUGCCUUUGAAACUGUAGAGCUUGAGUGUCGGAGAGGGGUGGCGGAAUUCCACGGUGGUAGGAGUGAAAAUCCGUAGAUAUCUGGAGGAACACCGGUGGCGAAGGCGGCCACCUGGACGACAACUGACGCUGAGGUGCGAAAGCGUGGGGAGCAAACAGG